UACGUAGGGGGCAAGCGUUGUCCGGAAUCAUUGGGCGUAAAGCGCGUGUAGGCGGCUUGGUAAGUCCGUUCUGAAAGCCCGGGGCUCAACCCCGGGAGGCGGAUGGAUACUGUCAAGCUUGAGUCCGGAAGAGGCGAGUGGAAUUCUUGGUGUAGCGGUGAAAUGCGUAGAUAUCAAGAGGAACACCUGCGGCGAAGGCGGGUUGCUGGGCCGACACUGACGCUGAGGCGCGAAAGCCAGGGGAGCGAACGGG
rnacentral:rRNA from 1 species